rnacentral:lncRNA from 1 species
GAUCAUUUAAGUUAUUUUUUAGUUACAUUUUGGUCCCAUAAGUUAUUAACGUUACAAUUUUCUCCCUUAGGUUAGUAUUUGUGAGCCAUAUAAAUCCUCACGGUUAGUCUUUUGCCAAAAUGAUAAAAAGGCACGUGUGAACGGUGACGUGACAACUUACAAUGUGUAUCUACCUUAGACAUUGGCCUAACGGUUUUGACGGUGGAGAUUUAUUAGCUAACGAAAGAUAACUUAAAGGGAUCUAAUUGUACCGUUAUG